UCAUAUGGUCACAUACUUUACCUUGGAUGCACACAUCUUGUCUGAUUUUCAGAGCUAAGCAGGAUCAAACCUGAUUUGUUCCUGAAUUGGAGACCACCAGGGAAUACUUGGGAUCUUGUAGU
rnacentral:rRNA from 1 species